GCCCAGGUGGUGAAAUGGUAGACACGCUAGCUUGAGGGGCUAGUGGACUUAUUUGUCCGUGGAGGUUCAACUCCUCUCCUGGGCACCA
rnacentral:tRNA from 1 species